rnacentral:tRNA from 1 species
GAGGGGUGGUUCAACCAGCAAGAACUGCUAAUUCUCGCAUCUGAGUUUAAAAUCUCAGCCCCCUUA